UACGAAGGGGGCGAGCGUUGUUCGGAAUUACUGGGCGUAAAGGGCGCGUAGGCGGCGAACCAAGUCAGAUGUGAAAGUCCUGGGCUUAACCUGGGGACUGCAUUUGAUACUGGUUUGCUUGAAUUCGGGAGAGGAUAGCGGAAUUCCCAGUGUAGAGGUGAAAUCCGUAGAUAUUGGGAAGAACACCGGUGGCGAAGGCGGCUAUCUGGACCGACAUUGACGCUGAGGCGCGAAAGCGUGGGGAGCAAACAGG
rnacentral:rRNA from 1 species